rnacentral:rRNA from 1 species
CUACGGGCUGCUCCAGUGAGGAAUAUUGCACAAUGGGGGAAACCCUGAUGCAGCAACGCCGCGUGGAGGAUGACGCAUUUCGGUGUGUAAACUCCUUUUAUGAGUCAAGAAAAUGACGGUAGCUCAUGAAUAAGCACCGGCUAACUCCGUGCCAGCAGCCGCGGUAAUACGGAGAGGUGCAAGCGUUACUCGGAAUCACUGGGCGUAAAGGACGCGUAGGCGGGCUUGUAAGUCAGGUGUGAAAUCCUACAGCUUAACUGUAGAACUGCACUGGAAACUACGAGCCUAGAGUAUGGGAGGGGCAGAUGGAAUUAGUGGUGUAGGGGUAAAAUCCGUAGAUAUCACUAGGAAUACCGAAAGCGAAGGCGAUCUGCUGGAACAUUACUGACGCUAAGGCGUGAAAGCGUGGGGAGCAAACGGGAUUAGAUACCCGGGUAGUC